rnacentral:lncRNA from 1 species
CCUGCCCAAGAGCCCAGCCCCACGGAGAAGCGCUUGAAGGCCUUUUCCCCAGGAGUCCAGCCCUCCCUCCUCUGCCUCCACAGAACCUGGGAAGUGCCAGACGGAGGGAAGAAACUGGACAGCUCUGAGAGAGGGCAGGACCUCCAAGACUGCUGGAGUUUUCCUUGCCUUUCCCCUUUCAGCAGUGCUGGGAAGCAAAGCUUUGUGGCUGAGAGAGUGGACCCACUGCCCACGCUAACGCAGGCCCCUGGAGGCUCAGAGGUGGAAAUUGGGGAUCGGAAGUGGAGGCCGAGAGAGAGAUUCCUCCGUCGCCACCCCUUUCCAUUAAGGAUACACCUUUCUCCCAGGGUGCUCAGCCUCAUCUAAAACUGUCAUCUGAACUGAGACUCGGUUUCCUGAAAAGAUAACCCUACUGAUGAUCAAAGGAAGAGACUGGUUCCAUUAGUCAAGAUGCCUAUCCCGUGGCCUUCAAAAUAGAGAGAAACGUAUUUUAGAAGGAUCUGAGUAACACACUUUACUCAUAACAUUUUGUAUUAUAUUGCUUGUUGUCUGUUUCAACUUACCUUCUGAGUACUUUAUUUUAAGCACUACCAAAGUGGAUGACAUGCUGAAAAAAAGAACAAGAGUCACCAAAUGCUUCCUGCAAAUGUAUCUUCAAAUAAUGCUUUUACACUGAAAAUUAGGAUGUGAACUCUUAUGAGAACACACUCAAGGAUAGGAUAUUUAAAUCAUAGUAUUUCUAACCUAAGGAGAAAUAACUCUAUCCAGUUUGCUCAUUGAGGAUAAGAUCUGAAGAGUUAAAAACUUCUAUUUCUCUCUUGAAGUUUUCUGUGUUGACUUUGGCCUCUCAAUUCAAAACAAGCUUCACAAAGUGACAGGAAAAAAGAAAGACCUG